UUAAAGGGGCAGCGCCACUGCGCUCGCCCAGCGCGAGCUCGGGUGGAGGGCGCGGGACCUGCCCGCGGGUCAGGAAGGCGAGGGCGUGUGUCCAAGCAACGCGCGGGCGCAGCCCUCCGCACAAUGUACACCAUUACUAAGGGGCCCAGCAAGUUGGUUGCGCAGCGCCGCACAGGGCCCACGCAGCAGCAAGUGGAAAGCAGGCUCGGCGAGCUCUUGAAAUGCCGGCAGCCCACGCCGCCCACUCCUCCACCCACGCGGGCGCAGCCACCAGGCCCCUGGCCCCUGUCAAGUGCCCCUCUUGGCCGAGGAGGAAGUCCGAGCGGCGGUGGGGCACCUGAGCCCAGGAUGGCGAGCAGGCAAGUGCCUGGCGGAGUGGCACGUGCAGCCCAGGACUCCUGGCUCCCACCUCCUGCUCCCAGGGCCGAGGCUCGUGUUCAAUCGAGUGAAUGGCCGGCGGCCCCCCACCACAUCCCCAUCCAUCGAGGCAACCCAGGAGACCUACACACUGGCUCACGAGGAGAACGUCCGUUUUGUGUCCGAAGCCUGGCAGCAAGUGGAGCAGCAACUGGGUGGUGGCCCAGCCGGUGACAGCAGUCCGAGGCCUGUGCAGUAUGUGGAGAGGACCCCCAACCCCAGGCUGCAGAACUUCGUGCCUAUCGACCUGGACGAAUGGUGGGCACAGCAGUUUCUGGCUAGAAUCACUAACUGCUCCUAGCUGCUGCCUUGGAAGGAACACUGCCUGCACAGGCCUGGCUUUGCUCUGUGGCAGGCCCUCUGCAAGGAGAGGACCAUGGCACCCUGUAUACCCACUGCUGCGGGUCGUGUUUCCCCCGGGCCGGGCUGGAUGCCGGCCACACCUGAAGUGCCAGCUUUGGACUUUUGUACCUUCUGACCCCUUGGCCCAGCUGUCCCAGGCUGCCUGGUGCCAGGGGCUGAACCUGUCUGACCUCAAUCCUGCUCACUGUGCCUGGGGACCAGCCCCUGGGGCUGGCACGGUGGAGCUCCAGACUAAUAAAGUCAAGAAACUGUC